rnacentral:snRNA from 1 species
GUGCUCACUUCAGCAGCACAAAUACUAAAAUUGGAACGAUACAGAGAAGAUUAGCAUGGUCCCUGAGCAAGGAUGGCACACAAAUUCGUGAAGUGUUCCAUAUUUUU